rnacentral:rRNA from 1 species
AACGAACGCUGGCGGCAGGCUUAACACAUGCAAGUCGAACGGGUGCAGCAAUGCAUCAGUGGCAGACGGGUGAGUAACACGUGGGAACCUUCCUAGGGGUACGGAACAACUCAGGGAAACUUGAGCUAAUACCGUAUGUGUCCGAGAGGAGAAAGAUUUAUCGCCCUUAGACGGGCCCGCGUCGGAUUAGCUAGUUGGUGGGGUAACGGCCUACCAAGGCGACGAUCCGUAGCUGAUCUUAGAGGAUGGUCAGCCACACUGGGACUGAGACACGGCCCAGACUCCUACGGGAGGCAGCAGUGGGGAAUAUUGGACAAUGGGGGCAACCCUGAUCCAGCCAUGCCGCGUGAGUGAUGAAGGCCUUAGGGUUGUAAAGCUCUUUUACCCGGGACGAUAAUGACUGUACCGGGAGAAUAAGCCCCGGCUAACUUCGUGCCAGCAGCCGCGGUAA